CGAGAAUGUAGGUGUGUAAACUUCAAAUAUCUGCUUGUUUUAUCAAGACAUCCCAUAUUUAGCGACAGUGCUCUGACGACGUCGGUCCUGCCUGACAGCUAGCCGGCUACCUAGCUAGCUGCCGCACUUGGCUGCAAAUGGAUAGCGAGGGACUCUCUCUGUCGUUUCACCUCCCCGGUCUCUCGCAAAUGCUCGCACAGAAUCGGAGUUACAGCUGGAUGUGGAAAAAAUAACUGAGUUGUUUGGUGGUGCUAUAACGCGGAGCUACAACAGUGGGCAGCUAUCCACCGGUGUAUGACAGAAAGGACAUGCCGCGACCGCCGAUCGACCGGUGUUUGCUAACGCGGAGGUCAAUCGUGGAUCAGGGAAAGCAAAGGCAGGAGCGUGAGGUGAACUGAAUUUCAGGUAAGAAGUUAUGACCUGCACUCUAUUUGGGUCAGAUAUAAACCGAGUUUAGGUGUAGUUUAUUUAGCAGCAGUUCUCUUAUGUGUUGCUGAUAGCCGGCUAGCUAGCUAGCGCCGCUAGCAUAGUUAGCUAGCGCCGCUAGCGACCCUUCGUGAAAAAGCACCCAGGCUUGGCUUAUAUUGAGGCGGGUGAAACUCGUGUCAGC
ensembl:lncRNA